rnacentral:lncRNA from 1 species
GCCUUUAGAGGUGUCUGAUCCCCUGGAACUGGAAAUGUUGAUAGCUCUGGGACAUCACAGGGGUCUUGGGAACCAAACCUGGGUUCUCUACGAGAGGGACCAGUGCUCUUAACUGAUGAGCCACAUCUCCAAGCGCCCCUCUCCCCAGACUUCCUAGAAAUACACAAAGCUUUUAGUUAACUCUUGAGAUGCAAUUUAUGCAAAACAGGCAGGACAUCUAUGAUGUUUAUAACUAUAAGCCCUUGUUUCCUGAUUAGAGAAAUAUCUGAGAAGCCUUAUAGCACACCCACCUGGGGCUUUAAAAGGUCAAUUAGAUAAAAUGUGUAUCUUAAAGAUUUACUUUAUGCAUAUGAGUGCUUUUGCGAUUGUGUAUCUGUAUACUACAUGGCAUGCAGUGCCCGAGGAUGUCAGGAGAGGGCAACAGAACCCCGUAUCUGGAUAUAUGGUGGGCAUGAGCGACCACGUGGGUUCCAGGAACUGAAUCUGGGUCCUCUACAAGAGUAGCCAGGGCUCCUUAACGCCUCAGCCAACUCUCCAGUCUCUACCAUUUAUAAAGUGACUCCUAUUGGAGUCCCAAUUCUCUUCCUAAUAUAAAAUAAGCAGUACUGCCCAGCACUUGGGAGGCAGAGUGAGUUCUCUGUGAGUUCGAGACCAGCCUGGUCUACAAGAGCUAGUUCCAGGACAGCCUCCAAAGCCACAGGAAAACCCUGUCUCGAAAAAACAAAAUAAAUAAAUAAAUAAAUAAAUAAAUAAAUAAAUAAAUAAGCAGUACUGUUUAGUUAUGUCCACCAAUAAUAGGGAACAGACCACCGAAGACUAGGAACCAGAAGCAAAUUUUAUUCCAGUCAUCCAGGGGCCCAAAACACUUCCAGCUCGCUGGAACCACAUGUCAGAGUUCAUGCCUCUGACACUGUGACAAUGGGAGCUGGUUUUGAGCCUCUUCUUGUAGAAACAUUAAGCACCAGGUGUGGGUCAAAGAGCUUUUACAACCUUGAGGUCAGGCUUCAAGUCACAUUACAUUGUAAGAUUUACAACUUUUCAUUGUAGGAUGCUAACUUAAGAUGAUUGGGAAAGCCUGUGGCUGACACAGUUGCCUUUUGCUGUCCCUGAAAGAAUGCAAGGCAGAGAGUAGGAGGAUAGUUAAAAGUUAAGGGAAUUACCCAGGGAGUCCCAUAGAGGCAAAAGUUACAAGCUAACCUUUGUCCACCCUAACUACGUGGCUGGAAGGCAGGAAGCACUUGUCAAAAGCUUACCUCUGUACACAGGAUGUAGGCUCUUCAGGCAGAAAGCAGUUGUUAAAAGUUUACUAUGGCUGUCAGCUUCACUUUGCCCAGAAUGUGCUCUUCACCCACAAACCUACAAGUCUUGCUUUUUGACAGGUCUGACCUUUACUGCUACCCCUGCUGUUAACACUAUUUGGUACAUAAACAGCAACUGUGCUAAAAGGAAAAGUAAAAACUCCUGUAUGGGAGCUGGAGAGGUGGACCAGGGGUUAGGAGCAUUGCUGCCUCUGCAUUUGGCCCAGCUUCAUUCCCCACCGUCCACACUCUGUCUCACAAAAGACUCCACUUCCAGAAAUCCAGAACCCUGCUCUGGCCUCUGCAGGCCCUAGGCAUGCACGGGACACACUAUAGACCUUCAGGCAAGCAAAAUGUAAAAUAAAAAUCACCACAAUCAGCAUGGUGGUGCCCACCUUUAAUCCCAGCACUCAGAAGCAGAGAGAAGUGGAUUUGUGUGAGUUUGAGGCCAGCCUGUUCUGCAAAGUGAUUUCCAGGCUACCCAGGGGUACAAAGUGAGACCUGUCUCAAGGGCAAAACAAGUCCUCCUGUAAACAAAACAAAACAGCUAUAUUGCUAUGUGAUUUUUGUCACUGAGGUGACUUUCCCUUUAUUCCUCAUUCUAAAAUUCGGUGAACUAUUUUUUCCAUCAGGUGGAUAAGUUACUAACUUCAUUACCUGGGAAAAAGAGCCAACAAUGUUUUAUUCAUCAACCAAGAAGAGAAACAUAUACACAGAAGGACUUCUCCCAUAAUUAGGCAAGAAAACACCCACAUUCUCAAGAUAUGGGUGACUCAACUAUUGCAUUUCAAAACACCUUUGAGAAGUGCUGUGCUGGCAGCACACUAGAAUCAAGUGUGGUGCCUGUUGAAAAGCACAGAAGCCAAGGAAGACAUUCAAACCAAACAUGCCUGGAAGUGCUCUCUCUGGUUUUAAGAAACAAACACUCCAGACUUCAAAUUUUACAGGUCUUCUUCCUCACUUACAAGGGAUUAAUUUGUCAUUUCUAAGAACUGAAGAAUUGACAAAUAGACCACUACUCACAUGACAGAGGGGGAAAAACAGUAUGUCAGGUUUUUGAAGGAUCUUCAAUAAGUUAAGUACUUCAAUAAGUUCAGUACUUAGCACUGGAGAAACAAAAACAACAAACAUUGCACAAUGGUUCUGAGUUCAGUUCUUGUUGCUGUCUGGUAUUCAGUAUGGAAAGUAAUUUCUGUGAGAAGAACUUAUCACUAUACUCUCACCACUUUUUUCUCCCUUAACUGUUUUUCACUGACUGGUCCAGGUUGUGUAAAUAAACCAAUAGAAGUAAAGGAAAUUAAAGCAACGAAUAUACACAUAUUUUAUGUUACAAACAGCCACUAACUAAACUACACACACACACACACACACACACACACACACACACACACAACCUCUAGGUUUCCAGAGGAAAGGAAAUGAAAUUUUUGAAGCUGUCAUUAGCAACCUCAUGUAUGUCAGUGGAGAGUGUGAGCAUAGUCCUCUACUAACAGAAAUUAUGCAGUGAAGAUUUUCAAAUGUGUGGAAAUCGAAGGAGUUAACACAACUUGAGUACAAUGGAUGAGCUUUGUCCAGGAAAGGCCACCUUCCCAAUACAGUGUGUCCCCUGGCAGGUCAGUAUGCUUACCACACCGCAGCCCCCACAGAGGACAUUAGACAGCCCCAUGGGACCACUGGGCAAAUUUUAAAAGGUUUCUGGAAGUGUCUCAGUGGUCCAACGUGUAAACAGAAGCCUUUGAGAAGUUUCCCGUGCUGUGGAAGGCAGAACUGCGUAAGUGGAGCUGCCCAGCCAAACGUACUGGAGCCCGGAAGAUGGUGAGUCACAGAUCUCACAGACUAAGUAAAUCACAUUUGGAUUUUUGGUUUUGCUUUGAUUUGAUUGUGCCCUGGUUCUUCCCUCUUGGAGUAAGAAAGUUUGUAACUUGCAUCUGUUGUUGCUGUUUUAAAAAUAUUUACCCUGUGUAUAAGCUACAUUUAAUUUAGCAGGACUGCUUUUGUUAUAGGCAGAGUUAACUGUGCAAAGAAAAAGGUGUGUCUAGAGCUAAGGAGACAAGGAUGGCUUCCCAGUCUCCAAGGACAGUGGCAAGGUUUGCAAGUUGACCAAGGGGACAGUUGGCCUGAGGCCAUAGCUGUUCCCGAAGAGUAUUUCCUAAAAUUAAAAAGAGCAGUGAGAAGCAUCAGUGGUUAAGAGCACUACCUGAUCUUCUAUAAGUCCUGAGUUCAAUUAAGAGCAACCACAUGGCAGCUCACAACCUUGUGCAAUGAGAUCUGGUGUCCUCUUCUGGCCUACAGGCACACAUGCAGGCAGAACCAUGUAUACACAUAAUAAAUAAAAAUCUUAAAAAUAAAAAAAGUGAGUUUACUGUAUAUGGGAUCCUAUGGCACUUGUACAGAAGAAAUUCUCUGAGUUGCUGGGCAGAUUUUCC